rnacentral:lncRNA from 1 species
UCCCACGUCUUAAAUCCCCGAGUGAUAUUUUUCUCUUUUUUUUCCAUGCUUCUUCCCCAACUUCAUCUCUUCUACACUUAAUUUAAACCUUUUCUUUUUAAUCACAUUUCCUCCCAACCUGCGUCGCACACCAAAACUCUUUUUCUCUUCAAAAUUGAAAAUUCCUGAUUGCUUAAUCCACUGAAAAAAAGAAGUGAAGCGUUUUUCAGGUCGUCUCACAGGAUCCAAGAUCCGAUAAGUUUUAGUUCGAACCCAAAUUUCAAAUCCCCUUGAUCUGUACAAGUUCUUAUAAUGGGUUUUGGUUUAUAGAUCUAAUCUCCUAAUUCUUAGUUUGUUCGAUACUCUUUUAUCAAAUUGUAAGCCUUUUGCAUUAAUAUGAAUCUGUUAUUUUUCAGUAGUUUCUGUUGAAAUUGCUAUUUUAUGUUAUUCAUUGUUACUUUUUUUUUUAUUGUGUAUAUGGAUGUACUGCUUUUAAAGUUGAUUUCAAUGGAAUUAUUGUAUAAUUGCACUUGUGGGUUUGUUUUUCCUGGGAUUUUAUUAUUUAAAUGUACGUAUCUUAGAUAAUGGCUGAAAGAAUUGCAUACAACUCCGUUUUCAAUAUUUCAUUUCCAUUAUCUUCUAAUAGAACAGGUUUCAUCUUUGUUUCUUUUGAUUGGGUGUCAAAAUAUUGUUCCUUUAUGUUCCUAAAUAUCCUGUCAUUGUUGAAACAGGGGAAGAAACAGAGUUAAAGAAUGAAAUACAAAGAACGGUGAUGAAGAUUCUUGAAGAUGAGGACUGUGUAUUUUGAGAUAAACAAUUAUGCAUAUCAAGGUAUGAAUUAGUCAAUUGAAUUCGAAUAAAAUUCAAGGAUUUAUAAGUUGACAGAUUAAUGUUCAAUUAUAAACCAUCUAAUUCAUCAGUAAAACAACAAAAACAUGUAUAAAAAUGGAACCUAGUCCCUACUCACAAUCAGUGCUACAUAACAGGAUUUCUAUGCUUCAACCAUUACUGCAAUUUCAAUCCUUUUGUAGCUACAAUGACAAUCCCAACAUAUAUAUAGCUCAACUCAAUUGAUGAACCUUUGAUCGAAAAUUGAUCAAAAGAUGCCUUCGAUUGAUUACAAUUUUGCAGUGAAGUCUUCAUCUCUUAAGAACGUACCUUCAAUUUGUAUGUAGGAUCAAAGGCAGUGUUAUGGGCGAAAUAGAAAUCAGGACAUUUAAGGAGCUAGUAAAGAUAAAUAUGACCAACAGUGGUUCGAAUGUAUAUACAAAAUUUUUUUUUUUUAAACUUCUUACUAUUAGAUAAUGUCCAUAAAUCUCAUGAUAGGUACCCAAAGAUUCAUGGUGAACUUCGAUGGGAGCUUCUCUUGAAGCAAUAAUGCAUUGCUCUAGUCGCCACCGGAGCCACAAAGGACUAUCUAAAUUGAUUCUUUUCUGCCUAUAAGCUCCAAUCGCAUCAUAGGAAUUACAAAAAAAAAAGGCUCCCUUGUAG